rnacentral:rRNA from 1 species
AUUGAACGCUGGCGGCAGGCCUAACACAUGCAAGUCGAGCGAGCGGCGGACGGGUGAGCAAUGUAUGGGGACCUGCCUGACCGACGGAGCAAACUACUGUAAACGUUGGCUACUACUGCUUACUCCCGGAUGAACCCAUAGGGGAUUAGCUACUCGGUGGGGGAAAGGCUCACCUAGGCGAAGAUGCCCAGCUGGUCUGAGAGGAUGAUCAGCCACACGGGGACUGAGACACGGCCCAGACUCCUACGGGAGGCAGCAGUGGGGAAUAUUGCACAAUGGGCGCAAGCCUGAUGCAGCCAUGCCGCGUGUAUGAAGAAGGUCUUAGGGUUGUAAAAUACUUUCGGCGGGGAAGCGUUACCCGCAGAAGAAGCACCGGCUAACUCCGUGCCAGCAGCCGCGGUAAUUC